CCUACGGGUGGCAGCAGUGGGGAAUAUUGGGCAAUGGAGGCAACUCUGACCCAGCAAUGCCGCGUGAAUGAAGAAGGUCUUCGGAUUGUAAAGUUCUUUAAUCAGGGAAGAAGGAAAUGACGGUACCUGAGGAAUCAGCCACGGCAAACUAUGUGCCAGCAGCCGCGGUAAUAAAUAGGUGGCAAGCGUUGUCCGGAAUGACUGGGUGUAAAGGGAGCGUAGGCGGUAUAUUAAGUUCGAAGUGAAAACCCGAGGCUCAACCAUGGAAAUGCUUUCAAGACUGACGGACUUGAGUGGAGGAGGGGUAAGCGGAAUUCUGAGUGUAGCGGUUGAAUGCGUAGAUAUUAGGAGGAACACCAGUGGCGAAGGCGGCUUACUGGAUUAUAACUGACGCGGAGGCUCGAAAGCGUGGGGAGCAAACAGGAUUAGAUACCCGAGUAGUC
rnacentral:rRNA from 1 species